rnacentral:rRNA from 1 species
CUUAUUUCUAGAGAUAGAAAGUUACUUCGGUACAUCGGUGACAGGUGGUGCAUGGUUGUCGUCAGCUCGUGUCGUGAGAUGUUGGGUUAAGUCCCGCAACGAGCGCAGCCCCUAUUGUUAGUUGCCAUCAUUCAGUUGGGCACUCUAGCGAGACUGCCGGUAAUAAACCGGAGGAAGGUGGGGAUGACGUCAAGUCCUCAUGGCCCUUAUGGGUAGGGCUUCACACGUCAUACAAUGGUCGGUACAGAGGGUUGCCAAGCCGCGAGGCGGAGCCAAUCCCACAAAGCCGAUCGUAGUCCGGAUUGUUCUCUGCAACUCGAGAGCAUGAAGUCGGAAUCGCUAGUAAUCGCAGGUCAGCAUACUGCGGUGAAUACGUUCCCGGGUCUU